rnacentral:rRNA from 1 species
CCUACGUGAGGCAGCAGUGGGGAAUAUUGCACAAUGGGGGAAACCCUGAUGCAGCGACGCCGCGUGAGUGAAGAAGUAUCUCGGUAUGUAAAGCUCUAUCAGCCGGGAAGAAACUCACACUACCUGACUAAGAAACCGCGGCUAACUACGUGCCAGCAGCCGCGGUAAUGCGUAGGUGGCAAGUGUUAUCCGGAUGUACUGGGUGUAAAGGGAGCGUAGACGGUGCUGCAAGUCCGGAGUGAAAGCCCAUGGCUUAACCAUGGUACUGCUCUGGAAACUGUGGAGCUUGAGUGCGGGAGGGGCAGGCGGAAUUCCUAGUGUAGCGGUGAAAUGCGUAGAUAUUAGGAGGAACACCGGCGGCGAAGGCGGCCUGCUGGACCGUAACUGACGUUGAGGCUCGAAAGCGUGGGGAGCAAACAGGAUUAGAUACCCUAGUAGUC